GGGCAGGUGAGGUUCGUUAGCCGUGGUAGGCAAUUCACCUAGGAGAGCAAACUCCGAACAAUAAACCCGGGCAGGUUGGGCUCGUGAGCCGUCAUAGGUAAUACACCUAGGAGAGCAAACUCCGAACAAUAAACCCGGGCAGGUGGAGCUCGUUAGCGAAAGCAGUUCAUCUAGGAGAGCAAACUCCGAUUAUAAAACCGGGCAGGUGAAGGUCGUUAGCGUGAGCAGUUCACCUAGGAGAGCAAACUCCGAUUACAAUCCCGGGCAGGUGGAGGUCGUUAGCGAAAGCAAUUCAUCUAGGAGAGCAAACUCCGAUUACAAACCCGGGCAGGUGGAGGUCGUUAGCGAAAGCAGUUCACCUAGGAGAGCAAACUCCGAUUACAAACCCGGGCAGGUGAGGUUCGUUAGCCGUGGUAGGCAAUUCACCUAGGAGAGCAAACUCCGAACAAUAAACCCGGGCAGGUUGGGCUCGUGAGCCGUCAUAGGUAAUACACCUAGGAGAGCAAACUCCGAACAAUAAACCCGGGCAGGUUGGGCUCGUGAGCCGUCAUAGGCAAUUCACCUAGGAGAGCAAACUCCGAACAAUAAACCCGGGCAGGUGGAGCUCGUCAGCCGUGGUAGGCAGUCUGCCUAGGAGAGCAAACUCCGAACAAUAAACCCGGGCAGGUGGAGCUCGUCAGCCGUGGUAGGCAGUCUGCCU